GUGCGCCGUUUUUUAAGCCCGUCGGAAAGGCGCAGUAUUUGGGUAGGAGUGACCCGAUUUUCCAGGUGCCGUCCGUCACCCCUUUCUUUGACUCAGAAAGGGAACUCCCUGACCCCUUGCGCUUCCCAAGUGAGGCAAUGCCUCGCCCUGCUUCGGCUCGCGCAUGGUGCUCGCUCCCACUGACCUGCGCCCACUGUCUGGCACUCCCUAGUGAGAUGAACCCGGUACCUCAGCUGGAAAUGCAGAAAUCACCCGUCUUCUGCGUCGCUCACGCUGGGAGCUGUAGACUGGAGCUGUAGACAGGAGCUGUUCCUAUUCGGGCAUCUUGGCUCCUCCUUGAAAACAAGCCCUGGAAAAACAAAGAAUGGAACACCCCUCCGCUGACUUCAACCAACUGCCUGCUGAUGCGGCCUGACUCCCAGCCCUUUUUGCAGUUUUGAAGUGACAAACUGACUAGGCUACAAAGUAUUCAACCAUGGGCUGGUUCUGGCUGGUUCACCGAGGCUGUGUACAAAGUGUCUUCAUGUCCUGUGUUUCACCUUUUAACAUACAGAACCUAAUUUUACUGCAUUUUAAUGUUAAUUCUCCACUCGAAGGUGAACAUGGGAUGUAUGUAACACAUAUGUUUGCUUAUCAAGCACACAUAUGACCCCCUUUCAUGAAUAUUCAUAGUUCCCCCUGUGACCUGUUGAAUAUGUCUGUUUAGCCAACCUGUUUGGCAUAAAACUCCUAUCCCACCCUAUCUCCCUCAAAGUACCUGUUUGUGGUCUCAGCUGGAGGUGCCACUUCCCAGCCUGCAGUUUGCAA
rnacentral:lncRNA from 1 species